GCUGUGAUGAACCAAUAGCUUUGAUCUGCUGAAGUGAUAGAGCUUAUAUGUCCUCUAAGAAGUGCUGAGCAG
ensembl:snoRNA small nucleolar RNA, C/D box 61